GACAUUAUGGCCGAGAGGUUAAGGCGUGAGACUCGAACUAAAUUGAGGGAUCUCUUGGGCUCUGCCCGCGCAGGUUCGAAUCCUGCUGAUGUCG
rfam:Ashbya gossypii ATCC 10895 chromosome III, complete sequence.